rnacentral:lncRNA from 1 species
UGUACUCUUUCCUUUCAUCAAUAAAAUUGCCUUUUUGUUAAUGUCAAAAGGGGGAAGAGAAGGGUAUAUGAUUUUUGUGCAUUUACAUUAUUUAAAUUUUUAGUAUUUUGAUUUCAACUUUGGCAUAAAUUGAGGGGGAACUCAAUUAUAACUUAUCUUGUAUUUGGCAUAAUUAUCUUAUAACAUUUUUUUUUAAUACAUAUCCCCAUAUAGGUUUGCCAUUAUCAAAAAGGGAAAAAUUUUGUGCACUUACAUUAUUUAAAUUUAUUUUGAUUUCAAAUAUUUUUUUUACUUUGGCAUAAAUUGAGGGGGAACUCAAUUAUAACUUAUCUUGCAUUUGGCAUAAUUAUCUUAUAACAUUUUUUUUAAUACAUAUCCCCAUAUAGGUUUGCCAUUAUCAAAAAGGGGGAAAUUGUUAGAACACAUUUAUUAUGUUGUUAAAACUAAUGUGUUCAUAUGUAUAGGUUUNNNNNNNNNNNNNNNNNNNNNNNNNNNNNNNNNNGUGUUCAUAUGUAUAGGUUUUGAUAAAUGACAAACCGAUGAAGAUGGAAAAUAUUAUACAUGCCAAAUAAUCGUAAGUUAUUAUUGAGAUAUACUUUUGUUUAUACUAAAGUAUAUUGUUUUGUAGAGAUGAUAUGCAAUCAAUUAACGGACCAAAAUUAGAGUACAAAAUCAAGAAGUUCAAGACAAGAUCAAGAGAAGCAAUGAAGCAAUGA